rnacentral:lncRNA from 1 species
GCCACAUUUUAUUAGUAAAGCAUAUAUAACAUUUAUAAAGCUUUAGAAAAUAUAAACAGAUACAGCAAGGCUCUGAUUAAACAAGGAGAGGAUUUUUUAAAAUACUGUCAUAAAGUGUUAUCAGCGUUGACGUCAACUGUAUUUCACAAGUCAGUAUAGCAAUUAGUCAGAGGUGGGAAAAGUACUCAAAUGUCAUACUUGAGUAAAAGUAAAGAUACCUUAAUAUAAAACGACUCAAGUAAAAGUGAAAGUAACCCAGUAAAAUACUACCUGAGUAAAAUUCUAAAAGUAUCCGAUUUACAGUGGUGUAAAAAGUACUCAGUUUUCAUACUUGAGUAAAAGUACAAAGUAAAAGUAAAUGCUAUACAUCAAAUUCCUUAUAUUUAUCAAACCAGACAGCAAAAUUUCAUUUUGUAUAACUUUUUUUGACAGCCAAGGGCACACUCCAACACUCAGACAUGAUUUACAAAGGAAGCAUUUGUGUUUAGUGAGUCCACCAGAUCCGAGAGUAGGGAUGACCAGGGACGUUCUCUUGAUAAGUGUGUGAAUUGGACCUUUUUCCUGUCCUGCUAAGCAUUCCAAUUGUAACUAGUACUUUUGGGUGUCAGGCAGUAAAAAGGAUACAAUUUUCUUUAGGAAUGUAGUGAAGUAAAAAUAAAAGUUGUCAAAAAUAUAAAUAGUAAAGUAAAGUACAGAUUAGAGGUCGACCUCUAGUACAGAUACCCCAAAAAACUACUUAAGUAGUACUUUAAAGUAUUUUAACUUAAGUACUUUACACCACUGGAAAUUAGUAGACCUCAUUAAAAACAAUAAAACACUGGUAAAUGAAUACAGUCUAUUAAAAUACAAUAAUAACUAGUGAUAAAAGCAUAUGGCAGUUUAAAGGCCCAGUGCAGUCCAGUGGCGUAGCUAAACAUUUGUUGAUGGGUGGGCCUGCAGAAAUUUGGGUGUCCCCCCAAAUAAUGUUCAGUUAUAUAGCUGAUCUCAUGCUAUAUUACACAUUUUGCCAUGAGGCUUAGAGAAAAUGUUGCUGUUUUAAAGCUCGUCACAUGCUAUUCUACACAUUUUGCCAUGAGGCUGAGAGAACAUUUUGCAUUUUUAAAGCUAAUUAAAUAAAAAAUAUAGGUGUGUUGACUGUGAUAAGGGCACUGGAUUAAUAUGUUGUCUUGUUUGCUAAAUUAACAAAUGAAGUAGGCAGUGGCAUGGUGCAUAUACAGUUCAUUCGGAAAGUGUUCAGACCCCUUCCCUUUUUCAACAUUUUUACGUUACAGCCAUCUUCACAAUUAUUUUAUUUUUUUAUCCUCGGCAAACUACAGACAAUACCUCAUAAAGACAAAGCGAAAAAAACAUUUUGUUUUUGCAAAUGUAUUAAAAAUAAAAAACAGAAAUACCUUAUUUACAUAAAUAUUCAGACCCUUUGCUUUGAGAGUUGAAAUUGAGCUCAGGUGCAUCCUGUUUCCAUUAGUCAUCCUUGAGAUGUUUCUAAAACUUGAUUGGAGUCCACCAGUGGUAAAUUCAAUUGAUUGGACAUGAUUUGGAAAGGCACACACCUGUCUAUAUAAGGUCCCACAGUUGACUGUGCAUGUCAUAGAAAAAUCCAAGCAAUGAGGUCGAAGGAAUUGUCUGUAGAGUUCCGAGACAGGAUUGUGUCAAGGCACAGAUCUGGUGAAGGGUACCAAAUAAAUUAUGCAGCAUUGAAUGUCCCCAAGAACACAGUGGCCUCCAUAAUUAAUUUAAUAGAAGAAGUUUGGAACCACCAAGACUCUUCCUAGAGCUGGCCACCUGACCAAAAUGAGCAAUCGGGGGAGAAGGGCCUUGGUCAGGGAGGUGACUAAGAACCAGAUGGACACUGACAGAGAUCCAGAGUUCCUCUGUGGAGAUGGAGCAGAACAAUAAGGUCUUUAUGCAUGCUCAGAGAGAACAGAACACUAGGUUACAUGAUGUGGAAAUACAGAUUUGACUUCCACUUUGUAUUUUUUCAUGGUAUUUUCCAAUUGUCUAUCUACCAUUCAACAUGUAUCUACACUGAACAAAAAUAUAAACACAACAUGUAGCAAUUUUACUGAGUUACAGUUCAUAUAAGGAAAGCGUUCGAUUGAAAUAAAUUCAUUAGACCCUAAUCUAUGGAUUUCACAUGACUGGGAAUACAGAUAUGCAUCUGUUGGUCACAGAUACUGUAAUGUUCAGGCAUGACAGUGCAGGAAGACCGAUAAUUGUGUACGACAACACCAACCUAAUAUGACACCACAUGGUGGAUCAAUAGUACUACAGUCAAUACAGUGCAUCAGAAGCAACGCAACAACCAGCCAGCUGCCAACAAGCACACACAAAGGGCUAAAGCAAACAACCAAUGCAGGAAUUGUGGAGGCAAAUACCCACAUUAUGGAGACUGUCCAGUGAAAGGAAAAGAGUGCAAAGCUUGUGGGAAACAAAAUCCUUUGCAAAGCAGUGCAGCUCAAAACCAAAGCAGGAGCAACACAUGGAUACCAGAGCCAUUGCUAAAGACCGAUCAACCAAGUAGGUGAAACACAUAGAGGAGGUGGGAGGCCAAACUCAACAAGCAGUGAUGAUGCCAAGGUGUUUGUAGUUAAGUGACAAAAGCCUUAAACAGCCACAGACACAUUCAGCUAAAUGGUGUCAGAGUAGGAGUUCUGAUAGACUAGAGUAGAGUAGCAUAUCUGAUAGACUAUAGUGGAGUAGCAGUUCUGAUAGACUAGAGUAGAGUAGCAGUUCUGAUAGACUAUAGUGGAGUAGCAGCUCUGAUAGUGUAGAGUAGAGUAACAGUUCUGAUAGUCUAGAGUAGCAGUUCUGAUAGACUAGAGUAGAGUAGCAGUUCUGAUAGACUAGAGUAUAGUAACAGUUCUGAUAGACUAGAGUAGAGUAGAGGUUCUGAUAGGCUAGAGUAGAGUAGGGUAACAGUUCUGAUAGAGUAGAGUAGCAGUUAUGAUAGACUAGAGUAGAGUAGAGGUUCUGAAAGACUAGAGUAGAGUAGAGGUUCUGAUAGACUAGAGUAGAGUAGAGUAACAGUUCUGAUAGACUAGAGUAGAGUAACAGUUCUGAUAGACUAGGGUAGAGUAACAGUUCUGAUAGACUAGAGUAGAGUAGAGUAGCUGCUCUGAUAGACUAGAGUAGAGUAGAGGUUCUGAUAGACUAGAGUAGAGUAGAGGUUCUGAUAGACUAGAGUAGAGUAACAGUUCUGAUAGACUAGAGUAGAGUAGAGAUUCUGAUAGGCUAGAGUAGAGUAGAGUAAGAGUUCUGAUAGAGUAGAGUAGCAGUUAUGAUAGAGUAGAGUAGAGGUUCUGAAAGAGUAGAGUAGACGUUCUGAUAGACUAGAGUAGAGUAGCCGUUCUGAUAGACUAGAGUAGAGUAGCAUUUCUGAUAGAGUAGAGUAGUGUAGCAGUUCUGAUAGACUAGAGUAGAGUAGAAGUUCUGAUAUAGUAGAGUUGAAGUUCUGAAAUGUUAGAGUAGAGUAGCAGAUCUGAUAGACCGGAAGAAGAGUAGAAGUUCUGAUAGACUAAAGAAGCAGUUCUUAUAGACUAGAUUAGCAGCUCUGAUAGAGUAGAGUAGAGUAGCAUAUCUGAUAGACUAGUGUAGAGCAGCAGCUCUGAUAGACUAGAGUAGAGUUGAAGUUCUGAUUGACUAGAGUAAAGGAGCAGUUCUGAUAGACUAGAAUAGAGAAGCAGUUAUGAUAUACUAGAGUAGAGUAGAGGUUCUGAUAGACUAGAGUAGAGUCGAGUAGAAUUUCUGAUGGAGUAGAGAAGAAGUUCCGAUAGACUAGAGUAGAGUAGCAGAUCUGACAGACAGGAGUAGAUGUUCUGAUAUAGUAGAGUAGACAAUCUGAUAGAGUAGAAUAUCUGAUAGACUACAGUGGAAGUUUUGAUAGAGUAGAGUAACAGUUCUGAAGGAAAAGAGUAGAGUAACAGUUCUGAUAGACUAGAGUAGAGUAACAGUUCUGAUAGACUAGAGUAGAGUAGAGUAGCUGCUCUGAUAGACUAGAGUAGAGUAGAGGUUCUGAUAGACUAGAGAAGAGUAACAGUUCUGAUUGACUAGAGUAGAGUAGAGGUUCUGAUAGGCUAGAGUAUAGUAGAGUAACAGUUCUGAUAGAGUAGAGUAGAAGUUCUGAUAGACUAGAGUAGAGUAGCAGUUUUGAUAGAAUAGAGUAGAGUAGAGGUUCUGAUAGACUAGAGUAGAGUAGAGGUUCUGACAGAGUAGAGUAGAGGUUCUGAUAGACUAGAGUAGAGUAGAGUAGACGUUCUGAUAGACUAGAGUAGAAGUUCUGAUAGACUAGAGUAGAGUAACAGUUCUGAUAGACUAGAGUAGAGUAGCAG